GCCGCCCUAGCUCAACGGGUAGAGCGGGCGCCUCGUAAGCGCCAGGUUAUCGGUUCGAGUCCGAUGGGCGGCU
rnacentral:tRNA from 1 species